AUAAUUAAUAAAUAAUAAUAGUUUUUGUUUACAUUCACAAAUCCAAUAUCUACUACCACCGUUUGCAAGAAUGUUAUCAACCCAAGCUGGGGUUAGUUUGUUUAUUUUUCAUUCGUUUUUGGAGUAAUGUUUUGACUCCUUGGCUCUGAAAUUAAGCCACAAAAAAAAAAAGCUACCAUUCCAUAAAGAAACCUACUCCACAAUUCCACGGCUCGCAAUACUCCCACAAACACUGGGGCUCUCCUCCUACUGUGCUCUUGCUGCAGUGCAGACUGCUGCCACCUGCCCUCAAAGAAGAAAUAUUACAGUUCACGUUUGGAAGACAUCUCACCACACUAUGGAUUUAAUCCUGGUUAAGUAUGUUGCCUGUGGCACCCUUAAACACGUGAGUGGCUUAUCAAUUUUCCCCUACUCACCUUCCAUCAUUCCAUUAAUUAUUUCUUCUAAUUUAUAUCCCUCUCUCUUUUUUUGCAGUUGCAAUUUACUGACGUCAUGUCUCACAUGCAUGCCUAACAUUGGACCUGGAUGUGGAUGAGGAGGAAGCAAAUAGAAAAACACAUGAGGUUUUUUCAGCACUUCAUAGUUUUUUGACAUCGAAAUAAUUUCUUCUAUGCCAUUGUCAGUGUAUCAGCUCCACACUUCCCAGAGCUACAAAUCUAAACUCAUGCUUUAUCUUGGCCCUGGUAUUUUGAUUCCAUUCUGACCACCAGGGAUCUGAAUGCUGCUCAGCUCCAUGCAAGAUAACAUAUUUAUCAGCAUAUGACACGCACAUUUAACUCCUGAAAAGCUUUCUGUUAAAGACGGAAGAAAGAGUGAAGAUAAUGUUGAAGAUAAAGUUCUUAAAGGGUCCCAGUAGGUUGCAGUUUGCGCAGUCCUCCUUGAUAUAUCAAUCCCCCUUCAAAUCACAGUGUCCCUUUCACAGUCACGUUCUAAAGGUAUGAGGUGUCAUUUUUGUACGAAUUUUUAAAUUGAACUUUUAGGUGUAUUACAUGAAAAUGCCUAUGUGUAAAUAGGGUACAUGAUGAUAAUGGAGUUAGUGCUGUGUCCUGUUUCUUCCCAGAUCAUGCACUUACCCUGAGGAGGAGCAAUGGUCCUGCCAGAAGCCGAUGCUGGAGGGUCUUGAAUGCAGCUUUCUGUUAAAGACGGAAGAAAGAGUGAAGAGUCAAGCUCUAUGAUUUUGACCCCUGCUGCUGAAUCCAGGGACAUCCUCUGCCAGAAGGACAUCUCUUAGCUCCGCCUCCCACUCUCGCAACUUGAUAGGCUUUCCUCGGUUUUGUCCUAGUCGAAGCCUCUGCAUCUUCUUUGUAACCGUUGCCCGACAAUCAUAGAACCUGCAAAUGUACAUAAACAUUACAAUUACAUUAAUAAAAAAACAAAUACUUAGAUUAAUGUUUUUUGAAAACCACAUUUCUUUUCACAUUGUGAUGGUUAUAUGUAUACUGUUCAGCAUGUGGCUGUGACAAAUAAAUUUUUUGGUUACGUUGAACUGUUA